rnacentral:rRNA from 1 species
UGGAGGCAGCAGUGAGGGAUAUUGCGCAAUGGGCGAAAGCCUGACGCAGCGACGCCGCGUGGGUGAUGAAGGCCUUCGGGUCGUAAAGCCCUGUCGAGGGGGACGAAUCGGUUGCGACCUAACACGUCGUGAUCUUGACGGUACCCCUAAAGGAAGCACCGGCUAACUCCGUGCCAGCAGCCGCGGUAAUACGGAGGGUGCUAGCGUUGUUCGGAAUCACUGGGCGUAAAGCGCGUGUAGGCGGUCCGUUAAGUCUGAUGUGAAAGCCCGGGGCUCACCCCCGGAAGUGCAUUGGAAACUGACGAACUCGAGUCCCGGAGAGGAGGGUGGAAUUCCUGGUGUAGCGGUGAAAUGCGUAGAUAUCAGGAGGAACACCGGUGGCGAAGGCGGCCCUCUGGACGGUGACUGACGCUGAGACGCGAAAGCGUGGGGAGCAAACAGGAUUAGAUACCCUGGUAGUCUG